UUACGGCCAUAUUACGUUGAAACACCGGUUCUCGUACGAUCAGCGAAGUUAAGAAAUGUCAAACCUGUUCAGUACCUACAUGGGUGACCACAUGGGGAUACCAGGUGCU